AAUAGGUCCAAUCUAAUUCUACAUAAUGGUUUAACUAUGUGGUCUCGCUUCUGGACCAAAUUAAAUUCCAUCCUUUAUUAUCCUUGUGCUUGUGAUAAUUUCCAAGCAAUGUACAUGAGAAACGUAAAAGAAUAUGA